CGGGGCGUAGCGUAGCUUGGCUAGCGCGCUUGCAUGGGGUGCAAGAGGUCGCGAGUUCGAAUCUCGCCGCCCCGACCA
rnacentral:tRNA from 1 species